rnacentral:rRNA from 1 species
AUCAGCCUUUCGGGUGCGAUUCUGUGGAGUGUGAGGAGCUUAACACCUUCAUGCUUUGCAUAUUUGUGCUCUUGGGUGUACUUAUUCGUGGGGUAAGUUAACAUCAAUUUUGGUGGUCAUAAAAUGACUGGAGGAAUGUAGCUUCGAUCUCGUAUUGAAGUGUUAUAGCCUUCGGUAGAUGUGAUGAUUGAGAUUGAGGAUUGCAAUGGAUACCCUUCGGGGCUACCUGUCUGGUCUCUGAUUGUUGCUCUGGUGCCGAAAGCUUGCUUACGGUUAUCAAAGUCGAUGGUCAAUAGGUUAGAACGGGUUAAAUUCGUUAAGGAUGUUGACGUAAUGGCUUU